AAGGCUUGACAUGCACUGGAAUGCCGUAGAAAUACGGCAGCCCUUCGGGGCUAGUGCGCAGGUGGUGCAUGGCUGUCGUCAGCUCGUGUCGUGAGAUGUUGGGUUAAGUCCCGCAACGAGCGCAACCCUUAUCCUAUGUUGCCAGCGGGUUAUGCCGGGGACUCGUAGGAGACUGCCGGGGUCAACUCGGAGGAAGGUGGGGAUGACGUAACGGCAUUAGCCA
rnacentral:misc_RNA from 1 species